AUACGGAGGGUGCAAGCGUUAAUCGGAAUUACUGGGCGUAAAGGGUUCGUAGGCGGUUAUUUAAGUCAGAUGAGAAAGCCCCGGGCUCAACCUGGGAAUUGCAUCUGAUACUGGGUAACUAGAGUUUAAGAGAGGAGUGUGGAAUUUCCGGUGUAGCGGUGAAAUGCAUAGAGAUCGGAAGGAACAUCAGUGGCGAAGGCGGCACUCUGGCUUAAAACUGACGCUGAGGAACGAAAGCGUGGGUAGCAAACAGGAUUAGAAACCCCAGUAGUCC
rnacentral:rRNA from 1 species